GGCCCGCAGCCUGCAGCGGUGAAGCCCAGCCUGGCCAAACUGGGCGUAGCGCUCACCCCCUCCCACUGGCACAUCCUCUCAGCCACGUCCGCGCACCCCGCCGCCGACUCCCGCCUUGGCCCAGCCACCUUUCUCCUUCCCGGGGCCCCAUCCGGGCACUGCCGGCGCUCUUGCUCGCCUAGCACUGGUCAGCAAAGGCCUCCUGCAGUCGGGCCAGGUCCGAUCCACCUGGAGAACAUACGGAUCGGGCACCCCUCAUCACCCUGAAGAUAGCAGCCCAGGUCGCAUGCGGUGUCCAGGGCAGACACCGCAGGGAGAUGGAGGGCAGUGUGGAGACACCUGCAGAGUUGCCUGGGCAUCCCACUUCUACAGUCCUCUGUCCGCCUGUACUCCAGGCUGAGGCUGCCCGUGUGGCUUCCCGUCCGGUCUCCUGCUCCUGGUGCCUGGGCUGCCAAGCAUCUACCCGGAAUCUGAGCGUUUCGGUUUGAAGCUGUGGGAGGCCCCGUGGUGAGGCUUCUGUCCAAGUCCACAGAGAAGAUUUCAGGCCGUGUUAGGAACAUCAUGUCCGUUAACGUCUGGAACACGCCAGUGAGUGACUCGCUUCAACAAACGCCACUCUGGUCCAAAAAGAGUUUUUGUUUUCUUUUGUUAAGUUGAAUGCCUGUUCGAAAUUGGGGGAGAGGUUCCUGUCAGGAGAGCUGACUUGACUUUGCUAGAGUAUCCACUGCCACUUCCCGAAAGGACAUGGGCCAGCUUGUGAAGUGUCGCAGUCGUGAGGUGGUUCAGGUAACCUGAGGUCCAGGAGUUGACUCGCGGGUCCCUUGAGCCCUUAGGUCCCAGCCCCUAAACUUUCUCGACCAUACCUGCUCCCUUUCCCCAAGUGAGGGGAGUCGAUGGCCAGGAUGGGCACUAGUACGCUGGAUGUAAAGGAGCGUCAAUGGGGGGCGCUUGGGAUUCGUAGGGGUCAGGUGUGAGCUGGCCCGGGAGGGGGCGCCCGCCCAACAGGUGUCUCCUUGAAGCUUGCUAGGUAGAGCACGAGGACUCUGAAACCUGGCGCGCGGGCCUGAGCUUCCAUUUUAUUCUCGGUGGGCUCUGAAGCUAGUAGAGGGCGGCAGAGUUCUCCUGCCUGUGAGCGCCUGGCUUCUGCUUAGGCCUGGAUCGUGGCGCUCCAGCUCCUGCAGCAGCCAGAUCCGUGACACCGAAUGAAUGCUGUAGUCAGCCAGGCUGCUUUUUGUCUUGUCCAGGUCCCAGGGAACCAGGGAUCAAUUGUAGUGAUGGACUGGAGACAAUUUUUCCCGGGCAGGCAGGCAAGCAAAUUUAUCACUUUUGGUAGGAACUUUCCAGGCACUCUACUCAAACACUGCCACCACCAUACACCCUCCCCUUAUUGCCCCCCCCCCCGCCACCCCCCAGAACUUCUGAACCCCUUUCAGCAGUCUCGGUGCCUGUGCAGAGCCCACUCCCCUUUAUACCCUGAGUUAUUUACUGUCUAGCAUCUACAGAAAAGACCCUGGGUGGGGCAUACUCAUUCAAGGGAGGGGGAGGGAAGGGAAGGGAAGGGAAGGGAAGGGAAGGGAAGGGAAGGGAAGGGAAGGGAAGGGAAGGGAAGGGAAGGGAAGGAAGAGGUCACCACGCUAGCACCCCAGAACAGGGCAUCUGGGUGGAGCCAGAUCAGUUUAUUCAGACAUUUUUGUUUUCGCAGGAAGAGAUUCUUUUGGGAAGGGGCCCUAGGUGAGAUGUCCUGUACUGGAAACAACCACAAGUCAGACUAAGGCUCUUAGCUUCCAAUUAGGUUGGUUUCAGUCUUUUAUAUGAAGUAUCUAAUUUUUACCAGGAGAAUGAUUGUCCAGAUCUUAAUCUUUUCUAAAGAUUAGUUUCCUGUCCUGGUUUCAAUUUCAGUGGAGUUUACCCUACCUUUUCCUUGUGACUUGUGCCAGGUAUGUAUGGAGGAGAAAGCAGUGUGUGUUUAUACAUAUAUGUGUGUAUAUGUAUAUAUACAUAUGUACGUGUAUAUACAUAAGUAUGUAUAUACAUAUACAUGUGUGUAUACACACACACACACAUCUUUCUCUCUAUAUAUAUCAGUAGAAUGGAGCAGGUUCUUAUGCCUAUAUGCAGCUGAUUCAGACAUUAAUUACAUAACCAUACAAAUGUGCUUGACUUUGGAGGGCCUCGUCCUGCCCACAGACAUUGAGAAAGUACAACCCUAUUAUUGCUCAGUACAACCUAUCAAGACCAAGACCUCCCGUAUUUCCUCCACGAAUUAUCUUUCACCAAAAUUUAAAAUGUCCAUACUGCUGUCUGUUACUAAUAAAAACAGCCUACCUCGUGUAAUUAAACAGUCGAAUCUGACUACAUGCCGAUUUUAUUGGUAGUGACUGUGGCACAUUAAAAUGCCUAUACAGGGACAUUAGCUCGUGAGUUCCCAUUGUUAUUGGCGCAUUAAAACUCUGGUUUACACGAAUGAUCCCAAACUCUGGAAAGCCCUAUUUUUCUUCUCUUAGGUUAAAGUUGCAUUAAUCUUAAAAACAAAACAAAACAACAAAAAAACCACACCACCACCAACAAGAACAACAACAACAACAAAAAAUCAAGGAGGAAAAUUUACUUUCCAAGUAUAGCGCCUGGGCAGAUAAUCAUCACUGCUACUGGGGUGACAGGGUUACCCCAAACUGCUCUUGGUUUCCAACUUCAAAAGAGGCCUGGAUUCUGUGCUUCAGGGUAGGAGGAGAGUUCAGAUGUCUCUUGGGAAUCCAGGUGCUUGGCUCCUCUUUCUCCAGCUACAUACAUGGAGUGAACAAUGUAUGAAAUGUAGCGAAAUCGGUUGACUGCUUAGAAAGCGGUCUCUUGUGGUGGUUGUCCAGGCUGUGGGUACAUGCUGUGUACCCUCCCUCACGUAUGUAGUGGAGUUAAAAACAAACCAUGUUACUAUGGUCCUCACACAAACAGAAGUGGAAAUAUUUAGAGUUGGCCCUGGCUAGCGACUCUUUCAAGUUGCCCCCGUUUUCCGUGGAGGCCACUUGUGGGCCAAAUAUUAAGGCUAGGAAUGGAAGAUCUUUCUGGGUACUAAACUGGUUUUGAAGGCCCAGGCGCUGGCCUGAUACUGUCCUGUUCCAUGGUUUUCAGGAGGCGACUAGAUCUAAAGUCGCGCGGCAGGCGGCGAGGGGGCGCUGUGGCCCGCGCCUGCCGGCUGAGGCCCAGCUGCGGAAACCUGGUGCUGCCACCGUGCCACCGACGCGUGGCUGACGCCCCGCCAGCGACCAGAUCUAUCUCUUUCCAUGCCUGUUUUAUUCGGGAAAGAAGGAAAGCAAUAAUACAAGGGCAUUUCAACAAAACUAGAGCUCUCAUGACUAUUUUCUAUUUCAACUAUGUCUUCCGUGGUUUAAGUUUGGGGCCCAAAAAUAAGCUGCCAUUUAGGUGCGUGCAGAUUUUUUUUUUAUCUUAAAUAAAACGAAACAUUCACUUUUAAAGUGGGUUUACUUUAAUGAAGGAAAAUUUAAAAUGUAAGUAAGUUUCGAUGUAUCAAGUCAUAUCCUAUUCUAUUAGCAGCCAGGACUUUCUGGCAUGUGCAUGUUCUUGGUCAUCAAGACAGAAGGGCGAGAUGAAGUCAACCUUUGCUUCUUUAUUCUUUCAGUUUCGUUUUUGUUUGGUUUUAAAGAUUUUCAGUGCACCAAUUUUAAUUCUACAUGCAAAGGAAGUCUCCCUCGGGCUUACAAUAUAUUGGGGCUGCAUCCGUAUUUCUAGUUUCUAAAGGCGACGCGCUUUCCUGGAAAGCGCGCACACAGGACAGUCCCCCGAAGGUGAGGGGCUCUUUGAUGCCCGCUUCCUUGAAAGAGAAGUCUGGGCCCCAACUGGGUUCUCAAACCUGCCUGAGAGGCCUGGCCUUCUUGGCCGGUACAGGAGGUGGCUGCCCCUGUGGAGCCCAGAAUUGCUUUCCGUCCUGAACUUGGGGGUGGGGAAGGGGGGGGGCGACAACGCACUUUUUUUUUCUUGUUUCCCUCUCGAAGAUCGAGAAUUCCACUAACCAGUGCUUUCUCUUUUAACUAUCCUCUAACCAGUGCUUUCUCCUUUAUCCUCGCUCCUUCGCUUCAGAUCCUGAUCAGUUUCUCUUCUCAUGGUUUUCUUUAGUGGGAAGCAUGAGUUCGCAUUCUCCGGUAGAAGCCCCGCUUUAGACAGGCUUCCUGAAGUUUCUCUCCCGCGCGAGUCCGGACAAUUCUCCCUCCACAUCUGGCCAUUCGGUCGCUGUUCUCACCCUUGUCUGCUGGUGUCAUGCUUCUGUCGCUCCUUUUCUCUCCUCUUGUCUGUCUCCCAACUGCGAUCCUGCCCCCCGCGGUCCAUCCGUGUCCUGGGAAAGGCGUCCACGAGAGACCCGGUCCAGGGUUUUGCGCCCCUCCAGGAGGUGGCCUAGCUGGCCAGAUCCGGGAGUCUGAGGCGCCGCCAGGAGGGAGCGCAGCGCGCGCAGCCUGAGAGCCAGGCAAAGACUGGACUAGGGGACUGUGCUAGUUUGCGGUCCCAGAACCAGUGAGGGAGUUAAAAGGGAACCCAUUUCAGGCCUGGCUGAGAGCCGCUAAGCAAUUUCACAGCCGGCUCCCCUGGGCCCCCGCACUGCAGACACAGCUCCCGACAUAUAGGAGCUGAGUCCCGGCUUGCUUACUCUUGGUCUUGGAAGACGCAUUUCCUGAACUCUCCUUAGCGGUUCUAGGCUCUGUGGUCAGGUUUGCAGCCAUCUGAGCCUGCCUUUCAAGCUUGGUCCCAUGAGCAAAUGAAAACCUACCUGCCUGAGCCUGGGAGGAGUCUUUGCUGGAAGGAAAGCCAGGCAAGAAAACUGCAAUUCUCUAAGUCUUUCCCAAGAAAGCAGGUCUGCUGGGGCAGGCUUAAUUUCCACCUGCCAUUUCUCACUGGUAUGUCCAAACAACUCUCCAGGACAUAGUCUAGGCGGCAGGUAACCAUGAACACACCGUUUUCUCAGGCUCUCUCAGAGUGCUCUUACAUACCCGGCAAGGAAUAUUAUAAUUUUUAAGAAAAAGGAGGAAUGUGGGAAGGGAGGGAAAGAGAAAACACGGCAGGGAAUGUAGAUUCUUUUAAAAUGGAUAAAUCUG